UACGUAGGGUGCGAGCGUUGUCCGGAAUUAUUGGGCGUAAAGAGCUCGUAGGCGGUUUGUCGCGUCGGCUGUGAAAUCCCGAGGCUCAACCUCGGGCCUGCAGUCGAUACGGGCAAACUAGAGUGUGGUAGGGGAGACUGGAAUUCCUGGUGUAGCGGUGAAAUGCGCAGAUAUCAGGAGGAACACCGGCGGCGAAGGCGGGUCUCUGGGCCAUAACUGACGCUGAGGAGCGAAAGCGUGGGGAGCGAACAGG
rnacentral:rRNA from 1 species